rnacentral:misc_RNA from 1 species
GAUGCAGAACGCAGCGAAAUGCGAUAAGUAAUGUGAAUUGCAGAAUUCAGUGAAUCAUCGAAUCUUUGAACGCACAUUGCGCCCCCUGGUAUUCCGGGGGGCAUGCCUGUUCGAGCGUCAUUUCACCACUCAAGCCUCGCUUGGUAUUGGGCAACGCGGUCCGCCGCGUGCCUCAAAUCGACCGGCUGGGUCUUCUGUCCCCUAAGCGUUGUGGAAACUAUUCGCUAAAGGGUGUUCGGGAGGCUACGCCGUAAAACAACCCCAUUUCUAAGGUUGACCUCGGAUCAGGUAGGGAUACCCGCUGAACUUAAGCAUAUCAAUAAGCGGAGGA